AAUUUUAUAUAUAUUUUCUAAAAUAAUAAUAAAUCUAUAAUAAAUCUUUAUUUUUUCAAACGUUAGUACAUAACAUUAACACAUAUUAACAUCAGUUAUAUUUAG